rnacentral:rRNA from 1 species
UGGGGAAUAUUGGACAAUGGGCGAAAGCCUGAUCCAGCGACGCCGCGUGUCGGAAGGAGUCCUUCGGGAUGUAAACGACUUUUGGUGGAGACGAAUAAGCAGCUCAGGGAAUGGGGCUGUGAUGACGGUAUCCAUGGAAUAAGCCCCGGCUAACUACGUGCCAGCAGCCGCGGUAAGACGUAGGGGGCAAGCGUUACCCGGAAUUACUGGGCGUAAAGGGAGCGUAGGCUGGAGGUCGAGUCCGGUGUGAAAGACCCUGGCUCAACCAGGGAUGAGGGCUGGAAACUGACAAUCUUGAGUACAGCAGAGGAAGAGGGAAUUACCGGCGUAGGGGUGAAAUCCGUAGAGACCGGUAAGAAGGCCAGUGGCGAAGGCGCUUUUCUGGGCUGUUACUGACGCUGAGGCUCGAAAGCCAGGGGAGCAAACCG